UGUGAAAUUAGUGACGAAUCGGGGUGUGGGGCUGCCACCGUCAGCAAAGGCGUGCCAAGACUCAGUCGCCGGAAUUCCGGCGGAUUCCUAUUCUGGAGAUAAGAUUCUUAAUUUGUGCUUACUUGGUUUGUCCCUUAUAUGACUUUGGUGAAUUAUGAGUUGUUCUCAAGAAAUUGGAGUUGAUUUGGUUUCAAGAGGCAAAAACAUCUUCUACUAGAACAAAGAUUCUAAACAAUGAGAGAGAGGGAGACAGCACUGCAGAGCUCUUGGAAUCAGGCAAUAGCUCCGACAACGGCGGGUAGGCAGUGCAGGUGAUAGCUCCGAUUUCCUCCUGUCAAAUUCGUCCCUGGCGUCCUCUCAGCCUCCCUAACAUGGCAUCUCCAGCAGCCACUUUAAAGAUCCGAUCUUUACCCGCCGGAGAAGAAGAACAUCAGAGGAAAGAGAAAGAGAAUUGACGCCAAGAAAAAGGAAUGCAGGCGCUCCGGGAGAGCAGGAAGCGGGGGAGGCAGUGCAGAAAUUGUGGCGUAUGGAAUUGGAAGUUGUCCAAUGAUCAGCCCAUCUGCUGGUGGUGGAGCCGCUGGAUUUGAAGUGUGGUUUUGCGUGGUGGCGGAAGGCGGCGAGGCUGGCAGGAAGCGGGCGGAGAGGCGGCACAGGCGAGACAUAAGAGCGGAGAUGAUAUCCGCUGAGGUGAGAGAAAGGGACGAACAGAGAGGAGAAAGAGAUAUGGAGGCUGAACAUUUGUGUAGGGUUUGUAGGAUUAUAGUACUAUCUCCGUCCAC